rnacentral:rRNA from 1 species
UACGGAAGGCAGCAGUGGGGAAUAUUGCACAAUGGGCGCAAGCCUGAUGCAGCCAUGCCGCGUGUAUGAAGAAGGCCUUCGGGUUGUAAAGUACUUUCAGUCGUGAGGAAGGUGUUAAGGUUAAUAACCUUAGCAAUUGACGUUAGCGACAGAAGAAGCACCGGCUAACUCCGUGCCAGCAGCCGCGGUAAUACGGAGGGUGCGAGCGUUAAUCGGAAUUACUGGGCGUUAAAGGGCACGCAGGCGGUUAAUUAAGUUGGAUGUGAAAUCCCCGGGCUUAACCUGGGAAUGGCAUUCAAGACUGGUUAGCUAGAGUCUUGUAGAGGGGGUAGAAUUCCAUGUGUAGCGGUGAAAUGCGUAGAGAUGUGGAGGAAUACCGGUGGCGAAGGCGGCCCCUGGACAAAGGACUGACGCUCAUGUGCGAAAGCGUGGGGAGCAAACAGGGAUUAGAUACC